rnacentral:snRNA from 1 species
AGCUUUGUGCAGUGGCAGUAUCGUAGCCAAUGAGGUUUAUCCGAGGCGCGAUUAUUGCUAAUUGAAAAGAUAUAACUGGAAGCAGCACUCUAUGGAUGGCCUUACACCUGAAAGAAAACCCCAGGAAUGGG